AAAAAAAAAAAGAAUAGUAUUACAAGUACAUACUAAUCCGUACAUACUAAAACGUUCUGACACGAAUAGUAUUACAUUGCAAGUUUGACAACCGAAUAAGAGUACCGAUUAGUAAAAGAGGUUACAAAAUUGGCAAGCCCAAACAUAACAAAGGGCUGGUAAACCCAAGACUAAAAAAACGAUCGAAACCUUUGAAUUUCACCUUGAAUCAUCACUAAACAUGAAUUUUUAUUUGAGAGACCACUAAACUCGUAUAAAAAGCUUUGUUAUUGUAAAAGCAAACAUGAAUUUUUAUUUGAGAGACCACUAAACCCGCAUAAAAAGCUUUGUUAUUGUAAAAACACUUGUUACGAGUCCUCUAAUUCAACCAAAUAAUUGUUAACCAAAUAACUUGAAAGCAAUCCUUAAUCUUCAUAAAACGAAAAUGCAUGACGGCUACAACAUAACAACAAAAGGUAAUCAGAGGUGGAUUAAACCUCCGGCAGGUAUGCUUAAGUGCAAUGUCGAUACAGCAUAUUAUGCGGAACAAAAUUUAUUUUGCGUUGCAGCAUGUUUACGGGACGAUAAUGGUAAGUUUGUUGCUGCGUUCACAAAGAGGCUUGAAGGCAAACCUGUCAUUGUAGAGGCGACAGCUAUAGGAGAAUUGGAAGCACUCA
rnacentral:lncRNA from 1 species